AGUGAGGCUCCAGACGUUUCUGUCCAAGCGCCCUUCUGCCACUUGGAGCUGGAGGUGGUAACAGGCUGGCCCUCUCUGGGGAGACGAAAGCAGGCAGUGAGCUCUCUGCCCACCGGGAGGAGCAGUUUGGGAUGGAUCGCGAACCCACACUGGGCCGAAACCGCAGGGUGAAGGGUGGCAGAAAUCAGAAACGAAAGCGUCUGAGGAAGGACCCCGCCAAGAAGGUCAAGCGAAAGAGAAAAGAGGAGCCCCCAGGAACCAAAAGCAAAAGGCUGCGUUACCAUGACGAAGCUGACCAGAGCGCCCUGCGGAGGAUGACGCGGCUGCGCGUCUCCUGGUCCAUGCAGGAGGAUGGGCUUCUCAUGCUCUGCCGCAUCGCCAGCAAUGUCCUCAAUACCAAGGUGAAGGGCCCAUUUGUCCCCUGGCAGGUCGUGCGAGAUGUCUUGCAUGCCACCUUUGAGGAGUCUCUGGAUAAAACAUCUCACUCAGUUGGACGAAGAGCUCGCUACAUUGUCAAAAACCCACAGGCCUAUCUGAACUAUAAGGUUUGCCUGGCUGAGGUGUACCAGGAUAAAGCACUGAUUGGAGAUUUCAUGAACCGCAGAUGUGACUAUGAGGACCCAAAGGUUUGUGCCAAGGAGUUUAAAGAAUUUGUGGAGAAGCUCAAAGAGAAGUUCAGUUCCACUCUAGGGAAUCCUAACCUUGAAAUCCCAGACACACUGCAGGAGCUGUUUGCCAGAUACCGAGUUUUGGCAAUUGGAGAUGAAAAAAAUCAGAUGAGGAAGGAGGAUGAACUUAAUAGUGUGGAGGACAUCCAGUUCCUGGUGCUGCAGAACCUGAUCCAGAGCACACUGUCCCUCUCCAACAGCCAGAUGAAGUCCUGCCAGUCAUUCCAGACAUUCCGCCUCUACCGCGAAUAUAAGGAGCGAGUGCUGGCGCGGGCCUUCAUGGAGUGUCAGAAGAGGAGCCUGGUCAACCGGCGCCGGGUCAACCAUACACUGGGCCCCAAGAAGAACCGGGCCCUGCCCUUUGUGCCCAUGUCCUACCAGCUGUCUCAGUCCUACUACAGGCUUUUUACCUGGCGAUUUCCCAGCACCAUCUGCACAGAAUCGUACCAGUUCUUUGACAGACUCCGGGCGGCCGGCAAGUUGGACCAAUCUGAUCCUUUUUUCUUCAAAGACCAGGAUAGUGGUAACCCCCCAACUGACAUGGUGCCGUUUUCUCUGGACGGACCUGGAGGACACUGUGUGACUGCCCUGACCCUUUGGUCUCUGGGCCUCAUUUCCGUGGAUGUCAGGAUCCCAGAGCAGAUCCUGGUGGUGGACAGUUCCAUGGUGGAGAACGAGGUCAUGAAGAGCCUGGGGAAGGAUGGGCUGGACGAUGAUGAGGAUGAAGAGGAGGACCUGGAUGAAGGCGCAGCGGGGAAGCGUGCGGGGGUCGAGGUGAAGGCGCAUCAGGCCUCCCACACCAAGUACCUGCUGAUGAGGGGCUGCUGCGUGCCUGGCAUCAUCAGCACACGUAACCUCAACCCCAACGACAGCGUCGUGGUCAACUCCUGCCAGGUGAAGUUCAGGCUGCGCUGCACCCCCUUGUCCACCCAGCUCAGGCCUGCCGACCCUUCUCUGCAAGAGCUGACAGUGGGAACCUCCUGCCUCCCGGACUCCUUCACCAGGCUGAUAGAGCCCCCAGCAAACCUGCUUGGCUUGGAGGAGUUUGCCCACCUGGGGGCGCUCUCGGGGUAUAGCCCGGAAGACAUGUCUGCCUCCCAGGAGAUCUGGCAGGCAGUGGUCUCCGAAGGCUCCUUUGGGAUUGACAAGGAGAAGCUGAGCAGACAGUUCUCAGCCUUGGACAAGACAGCAGGCACCAGGACAUUCCAAGACUACAUCCAGGACCUCUUGGCAUGGAACCAGGUGCUGGAGGUCGGCAGCAACACGGUCCGGCUGGUGGCCAUGGCCUUUGCACGGCCCUGGCUACUGCAUUCAGUGCGGCUGAAAGACCCAGAGGAGGACACCAGUGCUCAGAAGGAAGACUCCCAGGCCAGACUUCCUGAGGAACCUGCCAGUGAGAGCAGCGCACCUGAGCAGCCAGCUCCACCUUCUCACAGCCCCCAGAGUGCCAGGAAACGGGCACGCUGGGCCAGCCACAGCAGCGACACUGACACUGAAUGUACCCCGAAGCCCCCUGCAAAGAGGCCCAUGCUCCAGGAUAUUCGCUUGGCCCCCAGCCCCAGGCUCGAGGCAGAAGAGGGAGCAGAAAUCCAGGCUUUGGCCCCACCCCCCGUUUCUGAAGACCCAUGUGCAGGGGGUGCUGAGCAGGAAGGCCAAGAGGUUGUCGGUGGACCUAGCUCCCCCAGCCCAACCCAGCUGAGCCGUCAGGCCCAGUUUCCAGAAGGCUCAGAGGACCCCAGAGGGCUCAUCGACGCUUCUGGGGCCAGUGGUGUCUCCCCAGCGCCCCUCGAAAGGGACUGUGAAAACAUCUGCUUCAUCGGCCGCCCGUGGCGUGGCGUGGAUGGAGACCUGAACACACCAGUGUGCAAGGGCAUGAUGGAGGCCAUGCUGUACCACGUCAUGAGCAAGCCUGGUAUCUCGGAGAGCAGCCUGCUGCAGCACUACCAGGGGGUCCUGCAGCCUGUCGCUGUGCUCGAGCUGCUCCAGGGCCUGGAGUCUCUUGGCUGCAUCCAGAAGCGCAUCCUCAGCAAGCCCACUACUGUCUCGCUCUUCUCCAAACCUGUGGCAGCAAAUCCCAGGUCUGAGGCACCUGCAUCCCACCUGCGUGACAGCACUGCAGUCUUCUACGAGCCCACACUGGACUGCACCAUCCGCCUGGGCUGUGUCUUCCCGCCCAAGGUCAACUGGAACAAGUGGAUCCACUUGUAGGCUGGUGCCUGCCAUCCCAUGGACACAUAUCCCACCGGUGCCCCUAGAAGGCGUUCUGUGCCCAGCUCCUACAAGAGGGAUGGUGCACUGGCUGGAACCAGGCCUCGCGCGUUCCCCCGCUGUCCUGGAACACUGGGAAAAGGGCACACUGCUCUGCUCUGUGGCUCCGCCAGGCUGCGUGGGAGCCAGCCUCAUCACACUGACAGCUGGUCCCUCCUGCCCAGCCAGCGGGGAUGCACAACAGCAGCUGCCAGCACUUUGGGUCCCCUCUGCCCUCGGGUGCGCUUGCUCCCUAGGGGCUGCUCCUUGUCUGGACCUGUGUCCUGUGCUCAUGCAGUGGAGCUGCCAUAGCCUCUGAACGCAGGGUCAGGUGAGCACCUCGGGCUCCAGAGGGCUUGUUCCCCCACAUUCUCGGAGCUGCGUCACAGUUACCCAGCCUUCCUGGACCUCACUGUUGCCACCUGAGGCAGGUGGGCAGAGCCCUGACCUGUUAUACAUCCUGGACUCAGCCACUGUGGCUGGCUGCCAAGGGCCACUAAGAGUGAGGGUCUCGUGGAAAAACAUCGCAGGAGGCCCCGCAGAGCCUGUGUCCCUCCAGGCCAUGCACCUCGGCCCUGGGCCUGGGCCGGUCCUGCCCCUCAGCUCUGACUGCUGAUGCCCUGCCCACAAAAGGGAGGAUCCUGUAGAUCUCGGUUCUGUUUUGUUUUUUUCCUUUAGCCUCCUUCCUCAUUUAUAAACAAGUCCCCCUGGCAUGUAUUUAUUUAUUUUUUAAUUAAAGUGAAGUCAAGUCAGAUGCUUUUAGUUUUGCUAGUUUUCUGUAGUGGUCCAGGAACAGCUGGGCCUGGCCGUGCCUAGGAGAGCAGGGGAAGGGGAAGUGGCUGUGAAGAAUGCCAGCCUGCAGAACGGGAGGUGUGGGCAGCCCUGUCCCACCGCCUUGGCCCCAGGGGACCCCCACACCUGUCCCCAGGACUGUCCCCUCUGAAGCAGUGCCCGGUAUCCCACCAGGCCUGCGGGAGGGACAUAGUCCCUUGAAGUUCUCUAGAGCUGACAAUGGGUGAAUUGUGUUUAGUUACAUUUUGAAAAUGUGUUGCUUUCACCUUUAAGCAAACUUAGACUCUGACUUGAAAGAUAGAAAGGUGUCACCGCAGAGCACUUGCCAUCUGUGUGGACAGUCGGUGCUGCUCAGACCCUGAUCACUCUGGGCCAGACAGCACUGAAGCGGGCAAAGCCCAGCGCUUCGUGCACUUUAUCAUACACGCAUAAAAAAAUAGUGUUCUGUGGGGUUUUUUUGACAUGAGGUAAAAAAUAAC
ensembl:lincRNA